rfam:Schistosoma mattheei strain Denwood, Zambia genome assembly, scaffold: SMTD_scaffold0014416
AUCCAGCUGACGAGUCCCAAAUAAGACGAAACGCGUGUCAAAGUGAAU